rnacentral:rRNA from 1 species
AUUGAACGCUGGCGGCAGGCCUAACACAUGCAAGUCGAGCGAGCGGGGGAGGGGAGUGAAAUGUCUGGGAAACCGCGAGAGGGAGGGGGAUAAACACGGGAAACUGUAUCAAACCCCGCAAACCAUGAGGUGCGCCAAGAGGGGAUUAGCUAGUGGGUGGGGUAAUGGCUCACCUAGGCGACGAUCCCUAGCUGGUCUGAGAGGAUGACCAGCCACACUGGAACUGAGACACGGUCCAGACUCCUACGGGAGGCAGCAGUGGGGAAUAUUGCACAAUGGGCGCAAGCCUGAUGCAGCCAUGCCGCGUGUGUGAAGAAGGCCUUCGGGUUGUAAAGCACUUUCAGCGGGGAGGCGUUACCCGCAGAAGAAGCACCGGCUAACUCCGUGCCAGCAGCCGCGGUAAUAC